rnacentral:rRNA from 1 species
GAUGAACGCUGGCGGCGUGCCUAAUACAUGCGAGUCGAGCGAACAGAUGAGGAGCUUGCUCCUCUGACGUUAGCGGCGGACGGGUGGGUAACACGUGGAUAACCUACCUAUAAGACUGGGAUAACUUCGGGAAACCGGAGCUAAUACCGGAUAAUAUAUUGAACCGCAUGGUUCAAUAGUGAAAGACGGUUUUGCUGUCACUUAUAGAUGGAUCCGCGCCGCAUUAGCUAGUUGGUAAGGUAACGGCUUACCAAGGCAACGAUGCGUAGCCGACCGGAGAGGGUGAUCGGCCACACUGGAACUGAGACACGGUCCAGACUCCUACGGGAGGCAGCAGUAGGGAAUCUUCCGCAAUGGGCGAAAGCCUGACGGAGCAACGCCGCGUGAGUGAUGAAGGUCUUCGGAUCGUAAAACUCUGUUAUUAGGGAAGAACAAAUGUGUAAGUAACUAUGCACGUCUUGACGGUACCUAAUCAGAAAGCCACGGCUAACUACGUG